rnacentral:rRNA from 1 species
GAUGUUAGCGGCGGACGGGUGAGUAACACGUGGGUAACCUGCCUGUAAGACUGGGAUAACUCCGGGAAACCGGGGCUAAUACCGGAUGGUUGUUUGAACCGCAUGGUUCAAACAUAAAAGGUGGCUUCGGCUACCACUUACAGAUGGACCCGCGGCGCAUUAGCUAGUUGGUGAGGUAACGGCUCACCAAGGCAACGAUGCGUAGCCGACCUGAGAGGGUGAUCGGCCACACUGGGACUGAGACACGGCCCAGACUCCUACGGGAGGCAGCAGUAGGGAAUCUUCCGCAAUGGACGAAAGUCUGACGGAGCAACGCCGCGUGAGUGAUGAAGGUUUUCGGAUCGUAAAGCUCUGUUGUUAGGGAAGAACAAGUACCGUUCGAAUAGGGCGGUACCUUGACGGUACCUAACCAGAAAGCCACGGCUAACUACGUGCCAGCAGCCGCGGUAAUACGUAGGUGGCAAGCGUUGUCCGGAAUUAUUGGGCGUAAAGGGCUCGCAGGCGGUUUCUUAAGUCUGAUGUGAAAGCCCCCGGCUCAACCGGGGAGGGUCAUUGGAAACUGGGGAACUUGAGUGCAGAAGAGGAGAGUGGAAUUCCACGUGUAGCGGUGAAAUGCGUAGAGAUGUGGAGGAACACCAGUGGCGAAGGCGACUCUCUGGUCUGUAACUGACGCUGAGGAGCGAAAGCGUGGGGAGCGAACAGGAUUAGAUACCCUGGUAGUCCACGCCGUAAACGAUGAGUGCUAAGUGUUAGGGGGUUUCCGCCCCUUAGUGCUGCAGCUAACGCAUUAAGCACUCCGCCUGGGGAGUACGGUCGCAAGACUGAAACUCAAAGGAAUUGAC